rnacentral:tRNA from 1 species
GCCCGCUUGGCUAAGCGGUAUAGCGUGUCACUAGUACUAACUUGACAUGACAAGGUGAUCAGUUCGACUCUGAUAGUGGGCA